rnacentral:rRNA from 1 species
CCUACGGGAGGCAGCAGUGGGGAAUCUUGCGCAAUGGGCGAAAGCCUGACGCAGCAACGCCGCGUGCGGGAAGAAGGCUUUCGGGCUGUAAACCGCUUUCAGCAGGAACGAAAAUGACGGUACCUGCAGAAGAAGGAGCGGCCAACUAUGUGCCAGCAGCCGCGGUGAUACAUAGGCUUCAAGCGUUGUCCGGAUUUAUUGGGCGUAAAGAGUUCGUAGGCGGUCAAGUAAGUCGGGUGUGAAAAUUCUGGGCUCAACCCAGAGACGCCACCCGAUACUGCUUAACUUGAGUUCGAUAGGGGAGUGGGGAAUUCCUAGUGUAGCGGUGAAAUGCGCAGAUAUUAGGAGGAACACCGGUGGCGAAGGCGCCACUCUGGAUCGAUACUGACGCUGAGGAACGAAAGCAUGGGUAGCAAACAGGAUUAGAUACCCUGGUAGUCCAUGCCGUAAACGGUGGGCACUAGGUGUGGGUUUCUAUUAACGAAAUCCGCGCCGUCGCUAACGCAUUAAGUGCCCCGCCUGGGGAGUACGGUCGCAAGACUAAACUCAAAGGAAUUGAACGGCUGNGAGUGCGAGGCGACGACGAGGGAGGAGG